UAAGCCACCCCACAGACUACCAAGGU
rnacentral:piRNA from 1 species